CAUGUACUCCCUCCAUCCGGAAUUACUUGUCAUCAAAAUGGAUGUGUCUAGAACUAAAAUACAUCUAGAUACAUCCAUUUCAAUGACAAGUAUUUUCGGACGGAGGGAGUACAAG
rnacentral:pre_miRNA from 1 species